GACGUAGGGGGCAAGCGUUGUCCGGAAUCAUUGGGCGUAAAGCGCGUGUAGGCGGCUCGGUAAGUCCGCUCUGAAAGUCCAGGGCUCAACCCUGGGAUGCGGGUGGAUACUGCCGGGCUCGAGUCCGGAAGAGGCGAGUGGAAUUCCUGGUGUAGCGGUGAAAUGCGCAGAUAUCAGGAGGAACACCAAUUGCGAAGGCAGCUCGCUGGGACGUUACUGACGCUGAGACGCGAAAGCGUGGGGAGCAAACAGG
rnacentral:rRNA from 1 species